UGUCAUUUGGAACUCGCGUGUGAGAGGCGCCUGGACGCGCCGUGCUCUCCCUGCAGAAGUCCUCAGAGAUAUCAUAGGGCACUAUACUUCUGUAGCCUCGAUACUCCCCCCUUACUCUUAAACGCAGUUUCCUCUCAUCGAGUGCGAUCUAACACACUGGGAAAAUCAUCCAGUAAUACUCGGUGGAUAUUGGCCGUGCAGUGGAGUGGAGUUAGCCGUGAUGUGCAAGAAAAUGUCGGUCGAAAAGUUUGCACCAACUCACCGAGAAGAGAAACUGCCAGCAGACGGGAUGAGGUGCUGCAGUCAUCCUGCAGAGAGAAACACGGGUGGGUGGUUGGAAGGCUGGAUAAAGGCUGGUAGAUGACUGAACUCUGAGACCCAGCGCAGCUCAUCAUCAUUGCCAUGGGCUCUCGUCUUCCUCCUCUCCUCCUCUGGCCCGUACCUCCAUCCGAGGGUCCAGCACAGCCAGUGAAGCCCAGGCGGGGGGCUAGUGAGUGGGCUGGGAAGGAUGGAGAAGGUCCCUGAGGGCUCGAAGCACCGCUGGAGCUACCGUCAUGCAGGAGAAAUCAAUAUGAAACACAGAGCCUGCACAUCUCUGAGUGGGGUUUCCUGUGUUAGACUGUGGCCUAGGGGCCCACAGACCUCCAAAGGACAGGCCCUGCUUGCCCCUCUCAGCUGCAGCCCUGGCACCUAAGACUGGACCUCAAGUCCCGAUCUCCAUUGGCUGUGUGUGGUUCGGCUGAAGGGGAUCUCUCCCCAAAUAAUACCCAAUACCCAGAAUGCUGAAAGACCGCCAAGAGGGAUAUUUCUUUCUCUUGAUUUUUUUUCCUUCAUAAGAUUGACAUAUCCCCCAUUCUCUGCCUCUGGCUGUUUCAAAAACAGUUUGGGAGUUCUGCUUUGACUCACUCUCCAUCCUCCACUCGCCUGCUGUUUAUUCCCCAACAAGUUUUUUUACAUUUGAAAAAGAGACAGAACUGUCUUUAUUUCCUCUUCCUCUCAUGGUUUGCUGUUGCUAUGGUGAGCCGCAGUCAUGUGUCUGUCUGUUCAAACCAGAAACAUUGGCACAUGAAGUAUGUGCACCUUUCUUUUCUCCAUCAUGUCUUUUAUUCAAUUUCAGACAGACAAAAAAAAACUGAACAGCAAAGAGCGCUGAAGAUCACAGAGCAGAUGAACCUUCCCACCUCUCAGUGGAAAUGGUAAAAU